CCUGGCCGCGGGGGCGGGAACGAGCGCGGCAGAGGACCAGGCGCCGCGCCGCACCGCCCCCUGGGGGCCGGAGGACGCAGCCACAGCCCACCCCGCCAGGCCCGACGGCAGCCGCCAGAGCCGGCCGGAAAGCGCGAAAACGCGGGCUCUCGCCGCGCCCCCGGCCCAUCCGCCUCCUCGUCCCCCGCGGACCCGGACGCCUCAGCUUCACCGCCCUACCCCCCGCCGCCGCCCAAGCCCCCGCUGACUUUGACUUGGCUUCUCAGUUCGCCGGUUGGGGCAGCGACCAACGGCCUUCCCACCGCGCCUGCUCAGCGCGCCGGAAGCGCUCCCCCGCUGGGGAAGGCGGUGUAGGUGCGCGAGGGUUGUUCCCAUUUUGUGGACUCCCAGUUCUGUGACCCUGUGCCCAUACAGCAAUCCCCCGGACUGCAGACAUCCUGUAAGUUGAAACUGAGGCUCCGAGAGGAUAAGUGACUUACCACAAGGUCACAAGCGUGAGAUGAUAAGAACUGAACCACAUCUGCUGACUCCAGAGUCCAGCUGUUUCCCACCUUUCUGCACUGCCUG